UCUUCACGAGCUCAAAAUACUCGACAGCAACAGGGCUAACUUACAUGGGACUAAUGAUCAUAGGAUGCACUCUUCCAGUGACUUUCUGUCAUUUCCCACAAUGGGGAAGCAUGUUUUUCCCACCAACGAAAGACCCUGUUAAGGGAAGUGAGGAACAUUAUUAUGCCGCAGAGUAUACCGAAGCUGAGAGGCAGAAAGGUAUGCACCAAAACAGCUUGAAGUUCGCCGAGAACUGCCGAUCGGAGCGUGGCAAGCGCGUGGGAUCGGCACCUACUCCUCCAAAUUUAACGCCUAAUCGUGUCUGAGAUUCUCAGAUUUGAUAAUUUUGUCUAAGGGGAUGGAUGAUUGUCAAUCUCUGAUUAGAUGAAGAUUCAAUGAGCUGAGUCUCAAUAAGCAAAUUCUUUUUAAAGAAUGUAUCUUGAUUUUUCUUGUCCUUUUUUCUUCUUCUUCUUUUUCUUGGAAUCUACUUAUAAGUUGUAUGUUGUUUUUUAAAUGAAGUAUAUAUAUGACGCAUUGUGUAUGUUUCCUCUUGCUUCUUACAUCUGAAUAUUCUAUGGGUUGUUGUAGAUUCAAAAGUAAUAUUAACAAAACUUUUGACUUCUAAGAAGGGCCUUGAUCAUUUAUUCCAGUUGGUUUAACAUACAGAAGUUUGUGAAUUGUUUUACUCUCCUAGUAGCUGAUUAAAAAUGAUACUAUGAAAGAUCAAUUAUAUUUUAUAGUUACUAGUUGGCAACAAUUUGUACAGGGAGAAGUGUUAAGUUAAGCUUAGAGCGCAAUGGAAAUUUAAGUGUUUUAUCCAAUUAAUUUGUCAAAUCAGGUUAAGUUGUACUCAACAACUUGCACGCAAUAUUGUCUAAGCCAAAGGCAUGUUGAAAUCAAGGCAUGGUGAAGCUUGGGGCUGUUGCCCUAUAAUCUCGUCUGCAACAUAUUUUGUACUGGAAAAAUUUGACUUUGACACAUGGAUAAAUUACACGAUAACACAACAUCAUUUGAUAAGUUGUACAUCGGGAACAAGAUGGAAGACAAGUUUAAUCAUCGCAGGGCAGUGGCGGAGGCAGGAUUACCGCCAAGGGAUUCGAAAAAAGGGAAAAAUUAAAAAGGUUGUAGCUAGUGGGAAUUUGACCAAUGACCUUACUAAGGUUUUGAACCCCCUUGACCACUAAACUAUGUUUUUGAGCUGUGUCAAUGAGAUUCAAAAUAUAAUAUAUAGAGGUAAAAAAAAAUAGGUUUUACCUUUCAUAUAUAGUGUAAUUUUUCUGCGAAGGAGAUUCAGGUAAACACCCUUUCGCCCCCCUAAAUCCGUCCCUGCUCGCAGGAAAUAUACACAGUUCGGUGACUCCCGAGAGAAACAAGCACCGUGUCUCGAUGAAACACCCCAAAGAUGAUUCCGAGGAUUUAUUGAUGAAGUCAUAGCCCGAAACUUGACUUGGUCCUCAACUGUCCCCGAAACGUUAGGGAUUCACCUACACCCACUAUGCUAGAUUUGUCACCCACAAGCGACAUGUAUUUCGGCGUUUGUUAACCAUUCAGAGCGACAUGCAGAAGUGGGGAUGAUCAUGUGAAAGUUGGAUAUAGGCUAUAAAUAACCCCAUUUUAUUUGCCUGUACAUUCAUUCAAAAGCUGUUGAACUUACUCUUUAUAAAAGGCUAUUGUACUAUUGCUGGGCAAUCUCUCUUUAUUUUGUAAGCAUUGUGGCUCAUGGAAAAGAUCAAAAAGAUCAUUCUUAUCAUUUAUUUAUUUACUUUUAUUACUUUAUUUACAACUUUGUUAGCUUAAUUAUAUGAAUCAUUCGAUUAAAAUUUGAUUCGAACCAAUUGCUAGUGACCUCAUUAAAAAUAAAUUUAAUUAAUUAUUCCUCAAACUAUUUUUGAGUUAUGCAAUUUUGUGCCUACCGUGGGACCCUAGAAGUUGAGAAUUUGACUUAGAGUUCUUAUUCUCAUUAUGAGAUUUAUCUUUUACUUAUCUGUCAAUUUCCUUUCCAUUUUGUGACUCAGAAUGACUGAAAAGAACAUUCAGCCAAUAGAUUAGAGCAAAGCCACAGAACCCAGUGGAUAUCCAGGAGACUCCAUGCCCCUCAAGUGAAAACAGGUCUUGCAUAUGGGCAAAGAGCUAGGUCCCAGAUAGUAAGGAGGUCGUACCCAGAAAAAAGGCACUACUUGGAAUGGAUGCGUCACAAUCCAAAUAUGCGCCCUCUCACAUGGACUUUCCAACCCACAACUUCACCGAAUAGAGUGGCGAAACCUUGAAAUUCGACAUGGCUCAAUAACGGAGAUUGAACGCCAAAAUGGGCAUGAUGUUUGAUGCAUUGGGGAAGUAACAACUAUAACGACACUCCAACCCCGCUGAUAGAAGUGACUCAGGUCAAACACAUCCCUAAUUCAUUACUCAAGGCUUUGGGGUUUCCCGAUAAUUCCGUGGCUAGAGGGUCAGGUAUGUCUAAAAUGCUGAGUUACAUAUUUUAAUACUAACCUUGUGUCACACCUCUUUUUUACACACCUGAAGGUAUAUAAAGAAGUUUUUUCAAUUUAAGUGACAUUAUUCGAUAUGAGAUUAUUUAUUAAUUUUUUAUUCAGAGUUGCCACUUGAAAUAUUUUUAUUGGUAUCCCAAGUCACCGGCUUAUUUUAAAUCCCAAAUCGAGGAAAAUUCGACUUUCCUUUUGAAGUAUGCGAACUAGAAAUUCUGAAUAAGGAAUUCUGUUAACCCGGAGGAAGGUGUUAGGCAUCCCCGGAUUCCGAUGUUCUAGCACGGUCGCUUAAACUAUUACAAUUGGCCUAUUAUAUGAUUUUAAUACAUGUUUUAGCCUAUGGUAUAAUUUUAAAUUAUUAACUGCUUUUAAUUAAUUUUAGAAAGAUUCAACGUUACCUAAAACAUGUCUUUGAACCACACCACAUGAAAUGCACCCACGGUCCACGACACAUUUUAUUUAACGUUGUUGAGAUUUGGAUUUGGGUCACACGAAAUGCACACCCGAGUUUAAGGAAAUUAAUUUAAAUUACGCGCCUAAAACAACUACGCACCUUCACAUUUGCGAGGGCCAUGAAAAAUUCAACUGAUGGCACACCUAGAUUUUUAAAAGAGCUAACUAAUUUUACGAGGGCCAUGGCCUACUUAAUAAAAGUGGCACACCUCAAUUUCACAAGAAUAAACGUUGACCCACCAGUAAAAACACCAAACCAAUCUUGUUCUCAACUCCAGUGAAUUGCUAACCAAAUUGUGCUAAAGGCUCUUGGUUGUUAACAAGUAAGACUAUAAAUUUUUAAUUUAAUGUCAUCUCCCAGCAAACUUCAAUACAAGGCUCAAUAAGAAUUCAUGGCUUACUGCUUACAGGAAUCAGAUGCAAAAUCCUAUAAGAAUUAAACCAAACCUUAACGACACAAACAAACGACAUAAGCCAAAACAAAAGGAUUUCUACGGCAAACAUUGUGCUUUCUUCACUAUUGCAUUUUUGGAUUCAAAUAUCGAAAUUAAAUACUUACGUUCUUAAGAGCAAAUUAACAGAACAUAAAAAUAUUCCACCAUUCGAAGCAACGAGAUAGCAACUCAAGGAUUCAAUAGAGCAACCAAACAAUUUAUCGAAUGCAUGACAUUAACCCACUCAAAAAAAUGAAUUUAAGAGAAGAGGAUGGACCUUUUGAUGCGCAAGCUUUCCCUUUUUAUUAAGAAACCAACUGAUUUACAUGGUUGCGACCAAAGCUUCCAAGUGAAAACACGAAAAAGAUCAAAAUCGGGACUUCAAACGUCAACCUCGACUCGCUUCAACCAGAAUUGAGAACGACCCCUUCGGCAGCCCCGAACUCGUCGAAAAACCAACAGAAAAGAAAUUAGCUAGGCGUUGUCUUUAGAGCUGAAGCGCAUUGACUUCGAAUAUGUUUCGAAGCUGCUGUGCCGGGGAGUUUCGGGCGCUGUUUUGGGUGGUUUUUGGAUGGAUUUUCGCUGGGUUUAGAGCUGUGUUUCCACGGAGUUUUCAGCUAUGUUUUUGGACUGAUGAGGAAUCAUUUCUGGGGUGUUUUGAGGUGAGAAACAGGGUUGUUUCACAGAAGUGAGGAGUUAAUGGGGAUGUUUGCGGCUGACUCGCUGGUUGCCGGAGAAGGAAAAGGAGCCGCUGCUCUUUCUCUAUCGAGAAUCAGAAAGAGAGAUCAUGGAUUCCUUUGUUGAGAAAUCGCUGCUGUGUGAUUUUGUUGAAGAAGGUGAAGAACAGGAAGGGGGGGGGGGGGGGGGUCUUGUUCUCUGUUUUUUUCCGUUCUCCAGCCUUUUUUUUCUUUUUGUUCUGUGUGUGCAUGUGUUAUAUAGAAAGAGAAUAGACAUGAAAGGAAAUAUUCCCCGGCUCUAAUUUUUGUCCUCAUUCCCCUCUCUAAUUUUUCUUUUUCCAUUUUUUUGUUCGCUUCCCCAUGUGCUAAAAAAUGUGAGUGAGAAUAAAAUGGGGUGCAUGUGAGUUUGUUACCAAGAGAUAAGGGACUCCAUUUUAAUGAAUUGAUUUUUCUUUGCAACUUUACUUCUUCCGUUGCUUCAUUUCUCGUUUUUGCAAAUUUUUCACGUUUUCUUUCUUUUUCUUUUUUCCUUUUUGUUUUGUUUUAUUUCCUAUUAAUGAUAAAAUAAAACUAGUUACAAAUACUAUUUAUCUAAAGUAAGCAAUAUUAAAAAGAGAACUAAAAUAAUUCUAUUAGAGAAAUUCAAAUACUACUCGAUAUUUACUAAAUACUUAUAACUUAAAAUUACACUAAACCAAAUAAAAAUAUUUUUUGAAACUUUUCUUUUAUCCUUUGUAAAAAUAAAAUAAAAUAAAACUAGCUAUCAAAAAUAUCAAUAAUCUAACAUAAAGAAAAAAUAAUUUUUUGUUAGUUUUCUUUUUUUUUUAGUCUUUGAAAUAAAAUAAACCGAAGAAGUUUAAAAAUAGCCAAAAUAACAAUAUUAGACCUAAACUCAAUAUCUACAUUGCUAAAAUGUGAAAAAUCUUGGGGAGGGUCNNNNNNNNNNNNNNNNNNNNNNNNNAAACAAGCGUUCCUACUAGGGAUCCAGCAUGAGGCUAUAUUAUUCUAGGUUUAAAACCUGGGUGUAUUGUUCUAGACCUGGCUUACCCGAGCGGACAACACGAGCCGGGGGGGGGGGGGCAGCGUAUCGGGAAUACAGAAGCUUCACCGGCUUUGCAACUUAUCCGAACCUCGUUCUAAAAUUGGAGAAGACUCUAGACAAAAGAGAAGUCACACGAAGUGCACCCUCCUCAAAUGAUUUAGAAGACUCAGAAAGAAGAAGGGUUUCGUAGCAGUUUAUAUACAGUUCACAAAAUAUCAAAGCAGUAAAAGCAGCAUUUAGCACGUUAGGCCCAAUCAUGUAAAUAAAACCAGAUAAUAAAUAAAGCCAAAUAUAACAAUUAUUCUAAGCUCGAAUUCUUGAACCCUGAACUAGAGAUUCUGGGUUCGUUUCCCCAGCAGAGUCGCCAGAGCUGUCACACUUCCUUUUUACACACCCGAAGGUAUAUAAGGGAGUUUGCCAAUUUAAAUGAUAUUAUUCGAUAUGAGAUUAUUUAUUAAUUUUUUAUUCAGAGUCGCCACUUGGAAUAUUUUUAUUGGUGUCCCAAGUCACCUGCUUAUUUUAAAUCCCAAAUCGAGGAAGAUUCGACUUUCUUUUUGAAGUUUGCGAACCAGAAAUUCUGAAUAAGGAAUUCUGUUAACCCGGGGGAAGGUGUUAGGCAUCCCCAGAUUCCGUGGUUCUAGCACGGUCGCUUAAUCUAUUACAAUUGGCCUAUUAUCUGAUUUUAAUACGUGUUUUAUCCUAUCGUAUAAUUUUAAAUUAUUAACCGCUUUUAACUAAUUUGAGGAAGAUUCAACGUUACCUAAAACACAUCUUUGAACCACGCCACAUGAAAUGUACCCACGAUCCACAACAUAUUUUAUUUAACUUUGUUGAGAUUUGGAUUUGGGUCACAUGAAAUGCACACCCAAGUUUAAGGAAAUUGAUUUAAAUUACGCGCCUAAAGCAACUACGCACCUUCACAUUUGCGAGGGCCAUGAAAAAUUCAACUGAUGACACACCUCGAUUUUUAAAAGAGCUAACUAAUUUUACGAGGGCCAUGGCUACUUAAUAAAAAUGGCACACCUCAAUUUCACGAGAACAAAUACUGACCCACAAGUAAAAACACCAAACCAAUCUCGUUCUCAACUCCAGUGAUUUGCUAACCAAAUUGUGCUCAAGGCUCUUAGUUGUUAACAAGUAAGACUAUAAAUUUGUAAUUUAAUGCCAUCUCCCAGCAAACUUCAAUACAAGGCUCAAUAAGAAUUCAUGACUUACUGCUUAUAGGAAUCAGAUGCAAAAUCCUAUAAGAAUUAAACCAAACCUUAACGACACAAACAAACGACAUAAGCCAAAACAAGAGGAUUUCUACGGCAAACAUUGUGCUUUCUUCACUAUUGCAUUUUUGGAUUCAAAUAUCGAAAUUAAACACUUACGUUCUUAAGAGCAAAUUAACAGAACAUAAAAAUAUUCUACCAUUCGAAGCAACGAGAUAACAACUCAAGGAUUCCGAAAUAGAGCAACCAAACAAUUUAUCGAAUGCAUGACAUUAACCCACUCAAAAAAAUGAAUUUAAGAGAAGAAGAUGGACCUUUUGAUGCACAAGCUUUCCCUUUUUAUUAAGAAACCAACUGAUUUACAUGGUUGCGACCAAAGCUUCCAAGUGAAAACACGAACAAGACCAAAACCGGGACUUCAAACGUCGACCUCGACUCGCUUCAACCAGAAUUGAGAACGACCCCUUCGGUAGCACUGAACUCGUUGAAAAACCAACAGAGAAGAAAUGAGCUAGGCGUUGUCUUUAGAGCUGAAGCGCAGUGAGUUCGAAUAUGUUUCGAAGAUGCUGUGCCGGGGAGUUUCGGGCACUGUUUUGGGUGGUUUUUGGACGGAUUUUCGCUGGGUUUAGAGCUGUGAUUCCACGGAGUUUUCAACUAUGUUUUUGGACUAAUGAGGAAUCAUUUCUGGGGUUUUUUGAGGUGAGAAACAGGGUUGUUUCACAGCUGGUUUUGGAGAGUGAGGAGUUAAUGGGGAUGUUUGCGGCUGACUCGCUGGUUGCCGGAGAAGGAAAAGGAGCCGCUGCUCUUUCUCUAUCGAGAAUCAGAAAGAGAGAUCAUGUACCCCUUUGUUGAGAAAUCGCUGCUGUGUGAUUUUGUUGAAGAAGGUGAAGAACAGGAAAUGGGGGGGUCGUUCUCUGUUUUUUUCCGUUCUCCAGCCUUUUUUUCUUUUUGUUCUGUGUGUGCAUGUGUUAUAUAGAAAGAGAAUAGGCAUGAAAGGAAAGAUUCCCGGGCUUUAAUUUUUAUCCUCAUUCCCCUCUUUAAUUUUUCUUUUUCCGUUUUUG
rnacentral:lncRNA from 1 species